rnacentral:tRNA from 1 species
CGGGGCGUAGCGCAGACUGGUAGCGUACAUGCAUGGGGUGCAUGUGGUCGGAGGUUCAAAUCCUCUCGCCCCGACCA